CGGAUCAUGGUUGCAGACCCGCUGAACU
rnacentral:rRNA from 1 species